CAGGUACCUCAGUUGGAAAUGCAGAAAUCACCCACCUUCUGCAUUGAUCUCGCUGGGAACUGCAGACUGAAGCGGUUCCUAUUUGGCCACCUUGCCAGCCCAUCUCGAACAUCAUCUAAAAGGACUGGACCUACAUCUGCAGUUAACUGCACAAUGGAAGAAACGGCCUCUCCUGGGCAGCCUCAUGGAUGGGGUGAAGAGACAAAGCUUGGGAGUGUAGCAUGUUGAGCACAUCUGCUCAGAGGUAACAUUUAAGCAAUAUCAGCUGAGGUUUCCCAAGCUCCCUAAAAUCUACAGAAGUUCGGCUCAAACCCCUAUCCCAGAUGCUGGAGAUGACCAAGUUCUCCAGAAACACGUAGCAAAUUCCAGGGUGGGAAGGAGAAUCUGAGCAAGGAGACAACGAUUACAUUCUCAUGGUCACUUGUCUCUUGAGCUAGUGCUUUAUUGGAAUUAGUUUAUUCUGUUAAGAGUUUCCCAAAUGUCCUGUCUUUAUGUUACACUCACAACAAAACAGACAUAAAGCACUGGCUUAGCCUCCAGUUCCACAGGAGCCUCAUCAACCCAUGCCUUCAACUGACGCCUAAGCUGAGACUAAAGAAGAUGGUAACCAAGUGAAGAGAUGGAGGUUUGGAGUGUCCAAGCAGAGAAACUACAUGUGGAAAUGCAUCGAAGCAAGAAAGAGCAUGACAUCUUCUUAGUACUGAAAGAAAAUACGACUGGACUUCAAAUAUUUUCUCAUUCGUGGGGUUAAGAGGUGGGUGUUUCUUUACUCCUCCUUUUCAAUACAUCCCAACAAAACAUCUGUGCACUUCUUUAGACAAGACCAAAAUGCAAAUAUUUUCGUUGCUGUUCUUUGUACUGUCACCAAAUCAAAAUAGUACCUUAGUUUUGUAUAAUUCUUUACAGUUUUCAAAGCAAUUUCCACUAUCUCAUUUGAAAUUCUCAGAGGCCCCUCACCACCAAAGAUAAUCAGUGAACUAUCUUUUUCAUGGAUCCAUUUGUGGGUUUCAACAAAAAUUAACUAUAGAACUUACUGAAACAUCAAACAUUUUAAGAAAUGGGAAAUAUUAUUUUUUUAACCAAAAAGCAAAAAGAGUGGUUUUUCAGACACACUUAUUGCAUAUAGCAAAGCAGCUCAUUUGGUGGGUGGGGGUGGGGUAUGGCAUUUUUUUUGUCUUACAGCCACGAGAAGCAGCAUUUUAGAAUAAUUAUUUACAAAUUUGUAAAACUUUAAAAAGAAUAGACUAUAUAACAUGUUGAAAUAGAAUCAUUGUUACACUUUGAUAAAACAUUAAACAAAACCCAGGUCUCCCUUUUCACCUUUCUAACCUCCCCUUUGGUCUGAUGACAGUCAUGGGGGUGAGGGAUUCACCGGGAUUCAGGUAGGGGCUCUGGGCCUGCCUAAGCCUUGCCAAGAAGCAGUUACCAGCUUGGCAGUGCAUACCUGAAGAAGGACAAUUGAACAUAAGGCUCUGUUGACGUGCCUGUAAAUUGUUCUGUUAGAGUUGGUCUAUUUAAAGCAAUUAUGAAUGCAUGGGUCAGUGCUAUUGGAAAAGAGCACUUUUGUACCCUUUCACAGGCCUCAGAAGCAGUGUAUUCUCCCCAUCUGACCCUCCGGAUGGUUCCAGGCCAAGCGUCUCUCAGGGAAGGCUGGUUUCUCUCAACGCCCCCUUUCUGUCUGUGUUUCUUGGUUACCAGACUUGCUUACUUUGUACUAUCCUCAGAGCCCAUGACUUCCUCUGCUUUUUUCCCUAUGGAACCUUCCUUUUCUCAAAAGUGCUCACAACCUUCUCUGUGUCUUAGUGAUCACAAGACUGAGCACAUUUCCUGUUCGCUGAAUAAGCUCUAUUCAAUACAAAUAAAUUAAAGAGGAAUAAGCAAAUUGCUUUAACGUUGUGAUUGCUCAUUAAGACUCUGAAAAAUACUCAAGAGCAUAGACUUGUUCCCUUAGAAAUACGAUCAACAGGUCAUUGAAAUCUUUGAACAUUAAGUAACUGCUAUGUGUAGAAGUGUUAUAUUGACAUUGUUACUGUGGAUCUCAUUUUCUCGCUGUUUUGAUAAUUUUUACUCCACAUUCCAUUAAAAUUAUUAUUUUAAAAAAUUAACACAAAGGCUUUCCCUUCCUCUGUGAUGGGCACCAGACCAAAGUUGAUGUGCAAUAGAAAGGAAAUAUUAAUCAGAGUGCAAAGCAGUGGAAAGAUCCCCACUGCUUUGCAGAUUAGAAAUGGAUGUCAGGAAGUUUCCUGCAGGAGGCCAUGUUAUUUCUUUACUCUCUUUGUAAAGAAACAAUUUACAAAAAAUGUUGAGUCUUGCCCUAGGAGGAAGGCGGUCCUGGAGACAAUGGCUUUGCCCUGAAGAAGACCAUGCUGUUGAACACCAUAUAAAUGAUGUGGCAGUGAGAGCCGAAGGCUGUGGGAUCUGAGAGCUGGCUCAGCCUCACUGCCCACCAGUCAUGGGAUCUUGGUGAAAUCACCAAUUCCUCUGAGCCCCAGUUUCCUCAUCUGUAACGUGGAUUUCAUAAAAAUCACUUCUUGUAUUGUAAGCGUUGAAAGCAUGAAUAUACAUAUAAUGUAAAUAAUUUCUCAUUGGAUAAAUCACAUGAAAAGUACUCAAUAAAUAAAACAUUAUUGUUUGUUAAUUCUU
rnacentral:lncRNA from 1 species